rnacentral:rRNA from 1 species
GUAACAAGGUUUCCGUAGGUGAACCUGCGGAAGGAUCAUUACCUAGAGUUUGUGGACUUCGGUCUGCUACCUCUUACCCAUGUCUUUUGAGUACCUUCGUUUCCUCGGCGGGUCCGCCCGCCGGUUGGACAACAUUCAAACCCUUUGCAGUUGCAAUCAGCGUCUGAAAAAACUUAAUAGUUACAACUUUCAACAACGGAUCUCUUGGUUCUGGCAUCGAUGAAGAACGCAGCGAAAUGCGAUAAGUAGUGUGAAUUGCAGAAUUCAGUGAAUCAUCGAAUCUUUGAACGCACAUUGCGCCCCUUGGUAUUCCAUGGGGCAUGCCUGUUCGAGCGUCAUUUGUACCUUCAAGCUCUGCUUGGUGUUGGGUGUUUUGUCUCGCCUCCGCGCGCAGACUCGCCUUAAAACAAUUGGCAGCCGGCGUAUUGAUUUCGGAGCGCAGUACAUCUCGCGCUUUGCACUCAUAACGACGACGUCCAAAAGUACAUUUUUACACUCUUGACCUCGGAUCAGGUAGGGAUACCCGCUGAACUUAAGCAUAUCAAUAAG